rnacentral:rRNA from 1 species
UACGUAGGGUGCAAGCGUUAAUCGGAAUUACUGGGCGUAAAGCGUGCGCAGGCGGUGAUGUAAGACAGUUGUGAAAUCCCCGGGCUCAACCUGGGAACUGCAUCUGUGACUGCAUCGCUGGAGUGCGGCAGAGGGGGAUGGAAUUCCGCGUGUAGCAGUGAAAUGCGUAGAUAUGCGGAGGAACACCGAUGGCGAAGGCAAUCCCCUGGGCCUGCACUGACGCUCCAUGCACGAAAGCGUGGGGAGCAAACAGGAUUAGAUACCCC